rnacentral:rRNA from 1 species
UACGGGAGGCAGCAGUAGGGAAUCUUCCGCAAUGGACGAAAGUCUGACGGAGCAACGCCGCGUGAACGAUGAAGGCUUUCGGGUCGUAAAGUUCUGUUGUUAGGGAAGAACAAGUACCGGAGUAACUGCCGGUACCUUGACGGUACCUAACCAGAAAGCCACGGCUAACUACGUGCCAGCAGCCGCGGUAAUACGUAGGUGGCAAGCGUUGUCCGGAAUUAUUGGGCGUAAAGCGCGCGCAGGCGGUCCUUUAAGUCUGAUGUGAAAGCCCACGGCUCAACCGUGGAGGGUCAUUGGAAACUGGGGGACUUGAGUGCAGAAGAGGAGAGUGGAAUUCCACGUGUAGCGGUGAAAUGCGUAGAGAUGUGGAGGAACACCAGUGGCGAAGGCGACUCUCUGGGUCUGUAACUGACGCUGAGGCGCGAAAGCGUGGGGAGCGAACAGGGAUUAGAUACCCGU